GGAAGCGGUGAUAACACGUUUAAUGCAUCAUUUCCCGAUCGAUCACUGAGGUUAAGCAACGGUGUACGUGGUUCGUAUCCGUAUGGGUGACCAUCUGGGCAAUCGCGGGCUGCUGGUU
rfam:Asian citrus Psyllid, Diaphorina citri - Florida Strain, whole genome shotgun sequence.